GCUAAAGAAAAUGCUUUGUUUGAUGGAGUACUGCAGUACUCUUGAAAUGUCAUCACAGAACAUAAAUGUCUGGACACCUAAUCCCAACCUCUCCUAAUUGGUUGGAAGGUAUUUGGAAGAAGUUUAUAAAGCUGAGUUUUCUUACACAGGCAUUCACAAAUAAGGAAGAAAAAAGGCUACUUGCUGAGAGAAGAGAAUGCAAAGCUAAUGAAUCCACUGGAGAAAGGCUCUGCUCUUCUGUGUCCAUCCCAUGCUAAGCAGAAUCUCAGUCAUGGAAUAUCAAAAGAGAUUUACCCUGUAUGGUAUGGAGGAGUGACAUGGAUGUCCCACUUACCCACAAUCUUGUUGCCUUGGGCAGUGAGUUGCAGUGCAGUAGGUAUUCUGUUCUAGAACUCCGCACAAUAAUUUC